rnacentral:lncRNA from 1 species
CCUCUUCCAACUUGGUUUCAAUCUCCUACAUGUCAUGUCUUGUUGUUGAUUCUUUACUGAUUUGGGGAUUAUUUUUAGGGUUUGCUGUUGGUGCUGAAUUGAAUUGGGGAAGAAAAGCCGCUACCCCGUAUGCCACUGAUUCCAAUCGAAAAGCUGCUAAAUCUGACUGUUGUUUUCUACCCAUGCUCCAAAUUUUUCAUUAGUCGUAAGAUUUAGGACAUGAGGUUAUUUUGUACACACAUAUGAUUCAGUUUCCGGUCAAUUUGUUUGAUGCUAGGAACCAAACUGCCUGUUUAGUUUAAGAUGUGAUAUCCCUACUCUGAAAUCACAGUUUGUGUACCUAGCUAAUUUUAACUUAACUAAUCUAAAUGUUAGGAAGGACCGAUGGUUUCUGCAUAUUAGAGAUUUGUCGCUUGACUGAUAAUAUGCCAUAACGGGAUUAGGAAACCCAAAGAAAUUCUUCAGAGUUCUCUUCUGAAAAUGAAGCAGCAGUAGCAUUUGUGAAGAUGAACGAUGAGGUAAAAUACAACUUCGGGCAUCCGUGCAUAAAUCACAAGCCAAGUCUUGCACGGUAAUAGACAACCCUCGGUUCCAUUAUUUUCCUUAUGCUAACAAUUGUUUUUCUACACAUAAUGAUUUCAGCUGCUUGAUGGAAGAAAUUCGGGAUUAGGAAACCCAAAGAAAUUCUUCAGAGUUCUCUUCUGAAAUGAAGCAGCAAUAGCAUUUGUGAAGAUGAACAAUGAGGUAAAAUACAACUUCGGGCAUCCGUGCAUAAAUCACAAGCCAAGUCUUGCACGGUAACAGACAACCCUCGGUUCCAUUAUUUUCCUUAUGCUAACAAUUGUUCUUCUACACAUAAUGAUUUCAGCUGCUUGAUGGAAGAAAUUAACAUACAUUGAUGCAAACAACGGACACUAUGAUCUACACAGCGAGUCAUUUCUUCUUUCCCUAAGAAAAAUAUCAUUUCUUCAAUCUGGAAUAUGUGAUGUUAAAUUGAGCACUUGAAAUGUGCCAUGGAUUUCAUACAUUUGCAUGGCCACCAAUGCGCAGUUUAAGUUCAAUAUUAUGCCCACUACCAUAGCGGGACACAGAUCUAUCUGUGUAGUUACACUUAGAAUUGUAGAUUCUCUAUACUGGAGUUCAAAUGUUAAAUCCAGUAUUUUAUGUCAUUAGUCUACUUCACGCCACAGCUCUUAAUUUUUCACCCAUAGUCGAUCAUUUAAAUAUUUUCCGUAUCUAUAUUCUACUUUACGGGUUUGGAAAAGAUUUGUAAAAUCUCCACGCGGGUAGUUCAAAAUUAUAUAUUUUUACCCUGGUAUUCAAAAUUAUAUAUUUCUACCCUGGUAUUCAGAAUAUAUAG